GUAAAUUAUCAGUGGAUAUUUUAUUACAAUUAAUUAUUUAACACUAAUUUUUAAAAUUUAAUUAGAAAAAUCCUUAUGUUUUAAUCCUUAAUUUGUAAUCUUGUAUAGUAAUAUUAUUUAUUACCUGUAAUUUCUGUGUACUGUGUAAAAGUUUUAGAAAAUACUAUAAAUCUUCAUGUUCAACAGAUGAAGUCACUUGACAAUGUAGUACCAACAGAGAGAAAAACCGAAGCUAUUUUGGCAGUUUCCAAGCAAUCAAAUAAGAGAUCAAAUGAAC
rnacentral:misc_RNA from 1 species